rnacentral:rRNA from 1 species
AGGUAAGCUACUAAGAGCGAAUGGUGGAUGCCUUGACUGGUAAAGGCGAUGAAGGACGUACUAGACUGCGAUAAGCUACGGGGAGCUGUCAAGAAGCUUUGAUCCGUAGAUUUCCGAAUGGGGCAACCCAAUGUAUAGAGAUAUACAUUACCUAUAUAGGAGCGAACGAGGGGAAUUGAAACAUCUUAGUACCCUCAGGAAAAGAAAUCAAUAGAGAUUGCGUCAGUAGCGGCGAGCGAAAGCGCAAGAGGGCAAACCCAGUGCUUGCACUGGGGGUUGUAGGACUGCAAUGUGCAAGAGGUAAGUUUAGCAGAACAUUCUGGAAAGUAUAACCAUAGAGGGUGAUAGUCCCGUAUGCGAAAAACAAACCUUAGCUAGCAGUAUCCUGAGUAGGGCGGGACACGAGGAAUCCUGUCUGAAUCCGGGUCGACCACGAUCCAACCCUAAAUACUAAUACCAGAUCGAUAGUGCACAAGUACCGUGAGGGAAAGGUGAAAAGAACUGAGGUGAUCAGAGUGAAAUAGAACCUGAAACCAUUUGCUUACAAUCAUUCAGAGCCCUAUGUAGCAAUACAGGGUGAUGGACUGCCUUUUGCAUAAUGAGCCUGCGAGUUGUGGUGUCUGGCAAGGUUAAGCAAACGCGAAGCCGUAGCGAAAGCGAGUCUGAAUAGGGCGCUUAGUCAGAUGCUGCAGACCCGAAACGAAGUGAUCUAUCCAUGAGCAAGUUGAAGCUAGUGUAAGAACUAGUGGAGGACUGAACCCAUAGGCGUUGAAAAGCCCCGGGAUGACUUGUGGAUAGGGGUGAAAGGCCAAUCAAACUUCGUGAUAGCUGGUUCUCUCCGAAAUAUAUUUAGGUAUAGCGUUGUGUCGUAAUAUAAGGGGGUAGAGCACUGAAUGGGCUAGGGCAUACACCAAUGUACCAAACCCUAUCAAACUCCGAAUACCUUAUAUGUAAUCACAGCAGUCAGGCGGCGAGUGAUAAAAUCCGUCGUCAAGAGGGAAACAACCCAGACUACCAGCUAAGGUCCCUAAAUCUUACUUAAGUGGAAAACGAUGUGAAGUUACUUAAACAACCAGGAGGUUGGCUUAGAAGCAGCCAUCCUUUAAAGAAAGCGUAAUAGCUCACUGGUCUAGUGAUUUUGCGCGGAAAAUAUAACGGGGCUAAAGUAAGUACCGAAGCUGUAGACUU